AUUGAACGCUGGCGGCAUGCUUUACACAUGCAAGUCGAACGGUAACAGGGAGCUUGCUCCGCUGACGAGUGGCGAACGGGUGAGUAAUGCAUCGGAACGUACCGUGUAAUGGGGGAUAACGUAGCGAAAGUUACGCUAAUACCGCAUACGCCCUGAGGGGGAAAGUGGGGACCGCAAGGCCUCACGUUAUACGAGCGGCCGAUGUCGGAUUAGCUAGUUGGUGGGGUAAAGGCCUACCAAGGCGACGAUCCGUAGCGGGUCUGAGAGGAUGAUCCGCCACACUGGGACUGAGACACGGCCCAGACUCCUACGGGAGGCAGCAGUGGGGAAUUUUGGACAAUGGGCGCAAGCCUGAUCCAGCCAUGCCGCGUGAGUGAAGAAGGCCUGGUGUAAGCUCUUCAGUGGAAGAAAGGACUAGUGGUAAUAAUACACAGUUCAUGACGGUAUCGACAGAAGAAGACACCGG
rnacentral:rRNA from 1 species